ACACAUGCAAGUCGAACGAUGAAGCCCAGCUUGCUGGGUGGAUUAGUGGCGAACGGGUGAGUAACACGUGAGUAACCUGCCCUUAACUCUGGGAUAAGCCUGGGAAACUGGGUCUAAUACCGGAUAGGAGCGCCGACCGCAUGGUGGGUGUUGGAAAGAUUUAUCGGUUUUGGAUGGACUCGCGGCCUAUCAGCUUGUUGGUGAGGUAAUGGCUCACCAAGGCGACGACGGGUAGCCGGCCUGAGAGGGUGACCGGCCACACUGGGACUGAGACACGGCCCAGACUCCUACGGGAGGCAGCAGUGGGGAAUAUUGCACAAUGGGCGCAAGCCUGAUGCAGCGACGCCGCGUGAGGGAUGACGGCCUUCGGGUUGUAAACCUCUUUCAGUAGGGAAGAAGCGAAAGUGACGGUACCUGCAGAAGAAGCACCGGCUAACUACGUGCCAGCAGCCGCGGUAAUACGUAGGGUGCGAGCGUUAUCCGGAAUUAUUGGGCGUAAAGAGCUCGUAGGCGGUUUGUCGCGUCUGUCGUGAAAGUCCGGGGCUUAACCCCGGAUCUGCGGUGGGUACGGGCAGACUAGAGUGCAGUAGGGGAGACUGGAAUUCCUGGUGUAGCGGUGGAAUGCGCAGAUAUCAGGAGGAACACCGAUGGCGAAGGCAGGUCUCUGGGCUGUAACUGACGCUGAGGAGCGAAAGC
rnacentral:rRNA from 1 species